GACGAACGCUGGCGGCGUGCCUAAUACAUGCAAGUAGAACGCUGAAGGAGGAGCUUGCUUCUCCGGAUGAGUUGCGAACGGGUGAGUAACGCGUAGGUAACCUGCCUGGUAGCGGGGGAUAACUAUUGGAAACGAUAGCUAAUACCGCAUAAGAGUAGAUGUUGCAUGACAUUUGCUUAAAAGGUGCAAUUGCAUCACUACCAGAUGGACCUGCGUUGUAUUAGCUAGUUGGUGGGGUAACGGCUCACCAAGGCGACGAUACAUAGCCGACCUGAGAGGGUGAUCGGCCACACUGGGACUGAGACACGGCCCAGACUCCUACGGGAGGCAGCAGUAGGGAAUCUUCGGCAAUGGACGGAAGUCUGACCGAGCAACGCCGCGUGAGUGAAGAAGGUCUUCGGAUCGUAAAGCUCUGUUGUAAGAGAAGAACGAGUGUGAGAGUGGAAAGUUCACACUGUGACGGUAUCUUACCAGAAAGGGACGGCUAACUACGUGCCAGCAGCCGCGGUAAUACGUAGGUCCCGAGCGUUGUCCGGAUUUAUUGGGCGUAAAGCGAGCGCAGGCGGUUAGAUAAGUCUGAAGUUAAAGGCUGUGGCUUAACCAUAGUACGCUUUGGAAACUGUUUAACUUGAGUGCAAGAGGGGAGAGUGGAAUUCCAUGUGUAGCGGUGAAAUGCGUAGAUAUAUGGAGGAACACCGGUGGCGAAAGCGGCUCUCUGGCUUGUAACUGACGCUGAGGCUCGAAAGCGUGGGGAGCAAACAGG
rnacentral:rRNA from 1 species